rnacentral:ncRNA from 1 species
AAUCAAAUAGAAUACUACGGUGCCUUUCAGUCGGUUUGACCGUCUGGCGGGCUGAAAAGGGAAUCUGGUGAAAAACCAGAGCUGUCCUCGCAACUGUAAGUACGGACGAAAAGGAUAAACCACUGUGAGCUUUUACUCAUGGGAAGGUUCCUAAGUAGAAAGAUGUACGAGCCAGUAGACCUGCCGUUGUUGCCUGUUUCAA